rnacentral:misc_RNA from 1 species
GGCGUGCUAUGUCAUCUAAUAAAUUUUAAAUCAAUAAGACAUAAUUUCUAAGGGUGUGCAUGGUUUUUGGGAGAGUCUCAAAUUGAGCAAAAUACCCAUAUCAAACUGACCAAAUUUUAUGGUCUUGGUUCGGUUUCAAUUCUUCACUAUGAACUAAACCAAAAUAAUGUUGAACUUGUAUUAAAUAAAAGAACCAAUUUUAUUCAUAUGUUUUUCUAUAAUUUUUUAGAUAUAAUAUUUACUUUCAAUAUAUAUGC